AAGUUGUAACAAGGUCUUCGUUGGUGAACUAGCAGAGGGAUUAUUACAGAGUUGUACAACUCGCUAAACUAUUGUAAACCCUACCUCCCUGUUGCUUUAGCGGGAGGCACCCCCGUCGCCCUGCAAUAGGCUACUUGUAGGGUGCCUCUAGGCCCUGCGUAGGCGCCUGCUAGAAUAAUUUUAGAACCUCUUAACAGUAUAUAGCCUCUCUAAGUCUUACUAAAUAAGUCAAAACUUUCAACAACGGAUCUCUUGGUUCUA
rnacentral:misc_RNA from 1 species